GCCGGCUGUGGUGGUGCGCGCCUGUAGUCCCAGCUACUCUGGAGGCUGAGGCGGGAGGAUCGCUUGGGUCCAGGAGUGGGCUGCAGUGCGCUAUGCCAAUCACGUGUCCACACUAAGUUUGGCAUCAAUAUGGUGACAUCCCGGGAGCGGGGGACCACGAGGUUGCCUAAGGAGGGGUGAACUGGACCAGGUCAGAAGAAUGAAAUUGCCUGCUGAACUUCCUAAGAAAUUCAUGAGUUAGCAAUCAUACAGGUACUUCUCAGUGGGUAAGUCAAACCAUAGUAACAUUUCAGCUUA
rnacentral:sRNA from 1 species